CCCCCUAGGGGACUUGCCUCCAUUUGAUAGAUAGGGGCGGAGGCUCCGUGGGCAUGUGAUUGACUCAGCGCCUCAGCACUGCUGCCUGUGAGUCCUGGGCUGAGGGAGCCAACAGGAAGGGUGGUUAUUUUCUUUACUGGAAAGACGGGGAAAGGCUUCCCAGAGAAGCCCUCACCCAGGUCCUUAGCCUGGAGUUCAAGGACCUGCACCGGUAAUUCUACGGAAAGCCUCAGAGCAGCAGGAAGCACAGAGUGGAGGAUCCAGCAGGGAAAGCCUCUUCCUUCACAAGAGGACUUAGCCAACCUCAGGCCAGGCAACACUCUGUAUCCUCCAGUCUCUCCUGGAAGCCCUCUGCCCUCCGACCUGCUAGUGAUGGGUACAGAUUGCUUGUGUGCACACUUGAGAGAAUUAGGUACUUUGCGCCUGCGGUUCUUCACUGGCUCUGGCUCCCCCGCGAGUAGACCACAGGAACUGCAGUCGAGCCAAACCGGCUCCGCCCACUCCCGGCAGAGUUCCGGGAGGAGGAGCAACUUCGACAAACUCCUCCGCCAAUCGCUCUAUAAUGCACUUGUGGGCCUCCUCCGCUGCGGAGUACUCGGCGUACUCGCAUGCGCUGGGUUUCCCUCAAAUAACUUUCCUUGCUGAUGACAGAGUUGCUCUCUAAAGUUGGGGUGUCCCAGUAGACACUGGCCCGAAAGCCGUCCUCGGGUCUCAUCGGCGGCUGCAGCCCCAUCCGAGAUGCAGCACUGGGUGAGACACCCGGUGCUCUGAAGACCGCAGAGCUCGCCCUUGGAGAAGCACCGCUGGAUUUCACUUUGAACUCUCACCUGCUUGCGGUUUCCCAGGGAAAGUGUGGAGACAUAGACUGUUUCCAGGCAGCAGUGGAUGCAGGAGGAAGGUGAUAAAGCUGCUCAGGGCCAUGGACAUCAAGGAUGGCAGCUGGGCAGCUGUGGCAGCCUAUGCUCCCUGGGAUCUCUGCUUCCACCUGGGAGCCCAGGGCUUGGAGAGUGACCUACCACCAGCUGUCUGCAGUUUUGACUCCAUCAAGGUCCUGUCCACCUACCAGAUACUCAUGCUGUGGCUCUUGAAUCAGAUCACCUGGGUUAGAACCCUGGCUCCAUCACUUACCCUGCGAGUCUCUUGAGACAAGGCUGGUUCAAUCUGGAUUCAGGCAAUCUGAAGAAGAGCAGAGGCACCUUGGGUAUGUCAGACAUCCCCUUAAUGGCUUCACAAAUGGCGGUGGUACAGAAAGUCCUGUCCACCUUUUAUACUGGUACAGAACAAAGCCUGCAAUUUGCCAAGGCGUU